rnacentral:lncRNA from 1 species
AGAUUCUAAGGAAGGGAGCCUUGGCGUAACUAGUAAAGUUGUCAUAUGAAAAGGAGAUCAUGGAUUCAAGCGAUGGAAACAGACUCUUGCAAAAAUGCCAAGUAAGGCAGUGUACAGUGGACCCUUGUGGUGUAGUCAUUUCUCGGACCUUGCACAUAAUGGGAGCUUUAGGCACCGGACUGCCCUUACUCUCUAGUCCUUAUUUUAUAUUCCCUCCGCUUCAAUUUGUUUAACCUACUGUCCUUUUCAGUCCGUUUCAAAAAGAAUGACCCUUUAACUUUUUAGCAAGUCUUUAAUUCCAACUUUCAUAUGUUUAAGACCACAAGAUUAAAGGACAGAUUGGUCUAUUUGAUAUAUUUUCAAUUUAAGACCAUAAGAUUCAAAAAGCCUUCUUUAUUUUUGUAAACCAUGAUUCAAGUCAAAAUAGGUCGAACAAAUCGUAACGGAAGGAGUAAUACUAAAGCUGGAAGUAACAUGCUAAAUGGGAAUGUUGUUCUUUUCUAUGACCGCAAAUAGAAAUGGAGUUAGGAUUCUUUGUUUAUUGGGUUCUUGAUAGUAUGUAAAAUAAGACUUCCAGAUGCAACUAGAGAGGUGUUGGAUAUCUCGAGAGGCCGCUCGAGCAAGCACCAAAGUGGCUGGUGCCUGGUGGUGGAAUGAAGAGGUGAAAGGAAAGGUGGAGGCUAAGAAGAGAGCGUACGCGAAGUUGCUUGAGAGUAAGGAUGAAGAGGAUAAACGGAGAAUAGGGAGAGUAUAAAAUUGCUAGUCGAGAGGCGAAGUUAGCGGUCACGAUGGAUAAGGAUGUUGCUUUCGAGAGUUUAUACAUUGCGUUAGAUAGUAAAGGUGGGGAUACAAAGUUAUACUAGCCAAGGUUAGUGAUACAAGACAAGACAAGGGAGGCACGAAACAAACACCAAAAUCAGUCCACAAGUUCAAAGAACCGAGGACCCUUUUGAUGACCACUCUCGGAUUCAACAAAUACAACAAGAAUACAGGAUAAAAGGGUGUAUUUCAACACCAAAACAGCUACAAAACGUGAUGAAGAAGAUGAACAACAAUAACACAAGUUUUGAAUUCAACAAAAGAACCCAAAAAAGUGCACUGCACAACAACAAGAAGAUGACAACAACAAAAUGUAAAGAUAGGUAGUGUGACAUAGAUUACUACAAUAACUAUCGCAAUUUGGAGACGUGCAAACUAAACUUAGCGAUGAUGAAACUGUGGAACAAUUCUUGAGACGUUACUUCGGGUUCAAACAUGAGUUUCUUGGAGUAGUUGCAGCUGUGACAGUUGCAUAUGCUGUUGUUUUUGCAUUCACAUUUGCUUUCGGUAUUGAGGUAUUCAACUUCCAGAGAAGAUAGAAGAGUUUACUUGUUGAAGAUCUAAGAGCAGAACUGGAUGUAAGAGAGAUUGAUGAAGUUUAUAUAUUUUUUUGUUUUCUGAAUCUCAUGUGCUUGGGUAAGAAAUAAUAUUGGUUUGUUAAUGUUUUAUGAAAAUAUAGCAGCAAAUUUGUCCCAUGGUUCUCAGAUUCUAAGGAAGGGAGCCUUGGCGUAACUAGUAAAGUUGUCAUAUGAAAAGGAGAUCAUGGAUUCAAGCGAUGGAAACAGACUCUUGCAAAAAUGCCAAGUAAGGCAGUGUACAGUGGACCCUUGUGGUGUAGUCAUUUCUCGGACCUUGCACAUAAUGGGAGCUUUAGGCACCGGACUGCCCUUACUCUCUAGUCCUUAUUUUAUAUUCCCUCCGCUUCAAUUUGUUUAACCUACUGUCCUUUUCAGUCCGUUUCAAAAAGAAUGACCCUUUAACUUUUUAGC